rnacentral:lncRNA from 1 species
AGGCUGGAGUGCAGUGGUGCCAUUUCGGCUCACUGCAACCUCUGCCUCCCGGGUUCAAGUGACUCCCCUGUCUCAGCUUCCCAAUUAUGAAGAUCAGAAAAAAGGAAGAAAACUAAUGUUACUAAAUUAUUUCACGUGAUCUCGGGAAACACCAGUAGGAGAGUGAACAAGGUAGAAAGGGAAUGGAAAUGAGCAAAUAUAGACCAUGCAGAGUUCUUCAACAAGCAACUUAUUCCUAUUGAGGAGCCUUUUUGGGUGUCCAUCUAUAUUGCCCCCCAAAAAAGAUACUAUCUUCUAUUUUUAUCUUCAUCACCAUCUACAGUUGACUCCUGCAUGUCUGCAAAUCUUUCCACUCAUAGAAAAAAAAUCUAUCCUGAGCACUGAAAUUAGUCUUCCAAAAUAAAGCCUUCCAGAGAUGGAUACUGAGAAUUAAUUAAUAGCAUCAUAUUUAAUAGAUGGAAGUAAGUUAUCUGUGAAAAACAUUUCUUCAGUUACAUUUUGUCUUCUUGCCUCCACUAAUAUAAAAGCUUACUGUCAUUUUGUUGAGCCUUUGAAAGAUUUUAGUUAGGGCCUCUCUCCAGAAGGGCAGCUGGAAUUUUACAUGGUGACUCCAGGCUCCAGAAGACUCAGAAGAAGAUGUCAGUCAAUUUUAAGGCUUGGGCCUAAUAUGCAGUCUUCUUCUGGGCCAUCACCUACCUUCUCAGCCUCCUCCACAAAGGCAGAGACAGCAGAUUUCCUCAGUGAACUUCUUCUACUUAUUAAAAAAAAGUAACUGUAAAGCAGCCUCAAGGAGGUCCUUCAGGAGGCAUUCUGGAAGAAAGCAUUAUUGUCAUAGGUGAUGACAGCUCCAUGCAUGUGAUUUCCCCCAAAGACCUUCCAGUGGGACAAGACACAGUGGCAGAAGACAGCAAUUUUAAUGAAGCUAAUCUUGUGAAGGCCUAGGAUAAUGGCCCUGCCUGUGGAUAGUCACCAGUCAACAUUGGCAUCUCAAGGACAAGUUUGCCAAGAUUAGAAGUGCUUAUAUUUUGGGAACACGCUGGCCACUUGCACAUCAGAGAUCUCUGCUAUUAGAGAAAUUAUUUGGGAAUCCCUAGAAUGUUUGUAUGCUAGGCUAUUUCUUUUUGUGUUUAAAAUAUAUGGAACUUUCAAUGGAAGACUUUAAAAAUUACUCUUGUUUUGCCUAUGGCAUAAUACACAGAUAUAGUAAUUUUUAAAACCUUUGGUAAAUAAAGUAAAAAUUAUAAGGAAAACU